rnacentral:rRNA from 1 species
GAUGAACGCUGGCGGCGUGCCUAAUACAUGCAAGUCGAGCGAACGGACGAGAAGCUUGCUUCUCUGAUGUUAGCGGCGGACGGGUGAGUAACACGUGGAUAACCUACCUAUAAGACUGGGAUAACUUCGGGAAACCGGAGCUAAUACCGGAUAAUAUUUUGAACCGCAUGGUUCAAAAGUGAAAGACGGUCUUGCUGUCACUUAUAGAUGGUUCCGCGCUGCAUUAGCUAGUUGGUAAGGUAACGGCUUACCAAGGCAACGAUGCAUAGCCGACCUGAGAGGGUGAUCGGCCACACUGGAACUGAGACACGGUCCAGACUCCUACGGGAGGCAGCAGUAGGGAAUAUUGCGCAAUGGGCGAAAGCCUGACGGAGCAACGCCGCGUGAGUGAUGAAGGUCUUCGGAUCGUAAAACUCUGUUAUUAGGGAAGAACAUAUGUGUAAGUAACUGUGCACAUCUUGACGGUACCUAAUCAGAAAGCCACGGCUAACUACGUG